CAUCAAGGCAAAGUGCAAAUAUUGUGUGCGGACUAGGAAAAAACACUUCUAACCUGCUGAAACAUCUGAAGUUAAAGAUUCUGCUUCUCACUCCAUGAUUCCGGUAUAUUGUAUAGGACAUGUUCUACCGCUUGUGUCAGCUACCUACAGCUUUUGGAUCCUACAUUUGUGAACACGCCCAAAGUCCAAGCCUGAAUGUUUCAAAACAAACCGUGAAACACUAAAACUGUAUCAUUCCUUUGGAGAGCACAGUGAACAAACUUUGUUCAUGCAAGAAGCAACUCUGUUAAGAAGGACAAUAUACAAAUAUAGCCAGUCAGAAGUAUCCAUUCCUUUCAUUCAACCUCCACCCUAAUAUACUAAUCUAGCCAUUAAGAAUUAUCCAUUCCUUACAUUCAACCUCCACCCUAAUGUACUAAUCUAGCCAUUCAGAGUUAUCCAUUCCUUUCACUCAACCUCCAUCUUAAUAUACUAAUCUAACCAGUCAGAAGUAUCCAUUCCUUUCACCCAACCUCUAUCUUAAUAUACUAAUCUAGCCAGUCAGAAUUAUCCAUCCCUGUCACCCAACCUCCAUCUUAAUAUACCAAUCUAGUCAGUCAGAAUUAUCCAUUCUUUUCACUCAGCCUUUACCCUAGUAUACUAAUCUAACCAAUCAGAAUUAUCCAUCCUUGUCCCAAAUUCUACCCUAGUGUACUAAUCUAGCUAGUCAGAAUUAUCCAUUCCUUUCACUCAACCUCCACCCUAAUAUACGAAUCUAGCUAGUCAGAAUUAUCCAUUCCUUUUGACCCAACCUCCACCCUAAUAUACUAAUCUAACCAGUCAGAAUUAUCCAUCCCUGUCCCAAACUCUACCUUAAUAUACUAAUCUAGCCAGUCAGAAUUAUCCAAUCAUUUCACUCAACCUCUACCCUAAUAUACUAAUCUAGCCAGUCAGAAUUAUCCAUCCCUGUCACUCAACCUCCAUCUUAAUAUACUAAUCUAGCCAGUCAGAAUUAUCCAUUCCUUUCACUCAACCUCUACCCUAAUAUACUAAUCUAGCCAGUCAGAAUUAUCCAUUCCUGUCACUCAACCUUUACCCUAAUAUACUAAUCUAGCUAGUCAUAAUUAUCCAUUCCUUUCACUCAACCUCUACCCUAAUAUACUAAUCUAGCCAGUCAGAAUUAUCCAUUCCUGUCACUCAACCUUUACCCUAAUAUACUAAUCUAGCUAGUCAUAAUUAUCCAUUCCUUUCACCCAACCUCCAUCCUUACCAAAAGUGAAGCAGAUCAUCAAUCACAAACUUGCGUGUUACUGUUGUAGUUCGUUAGGAUAAAUGGAAUAGACCUACUUGUGUAGUAUUUUCCUCACCCUUCUAUACCAUAGCCAGUUAUCUGGCCGUAGUGAAAGUUACAUAGAUCUGGCAGCGUCCUUUUUCGAACAGAAUAAAAGUUUUUCCAGUUUUUAUCCUGGCUCCAUUCUGACAACACCAUGAUAAGUCAACGCUGGAUGUUGGAUUUGUGACAACACGUCGUGAUGCGUUUCAUAAGCUUAUUGGUUGUCAUUAGUCCAUUUUCCUUCACGUAGUUUGGACUUUGAUAUCUGCUACAAAGACAGUUGUUGGUCGAAAAUAUACGAAAUUUAAAAUAUUGCUCUUAGUAACAAAUUCACUGACACGUGCUUGUGUGAGUAUUGCAUAAAGAUUUCUGUUUCAUUGUUA